rnacentral:ncRNA from 20 species
UGGAGUAGGAAUCGAUGCGUUAAGUGCCAACAAGACGGAGAGUUGCUUGUUGGACGAAUGCUUGUCAGCGAUAUCGAUUCCGCAUCUCG